AUUGAACGCUGGCGGCAUGCCUAACACAUGCAAGUCGAACGGCAGCACGGCAGUAGCAAUACUGUGGGUGGCGAGUGGCGGACGGGUGAGGAAUACGUCGGAAUCUGCCCAGUCGUGGGGGAUAACUAGCCGAAAGGUUAGCUAAUACCGCAUACGACCGAGAGGUGAAAGCGGGGGACCGCAAGGCCUCGCGCGAUUGGAUGAGCCGACGUCGGAUUAGCUAGUUGGUGGGGUAAAGGCCCACCAAGGCGACGAUCCGUAGCUGGUCUGAGAGGAUGAUCAGCCACACUGGAACUGAGACACGGUCCAGACUCCUACGGGAGGCAGCAGUGGGGAAUAUUGGACAAUGGGCGCAAG
rnacentral:rRNA from 1 species